CAUCUAUCAACCACCUGAACUCCCUAUCAGUGCUCUUAACACCCUAACUGUGUAGCAGUGCCCUGGCAACCAUCCAGAACACCCAACGACUUCAAUGAAAUACAAUAACAACUACUCAGAACACUUUAGCAACUGUGUAGCAACACUCUGGCAACCAUUCAGAAUACCAUAACAUCACGACAGCUAGUUUUGAAUGGACAAACAAAUCUCAUGAUUUUAAACCAAUGAGAUUUCACUGUGUGCGCAUUUUCCCCACGUUUCCAGAAAUAGAAAACUAGUCACCACAAAUGUCUUGUACUGGACAGAUUAAUGCGGAAGGGCUCAGAUUUAUCACUUUUUUCCUUUGUCAUCACACCUAGUUAGGACACGGUGUAACAGAGCCUUUAAAGGUGUUGCUUUUAUAUCAGACCCUGACAGUGAUGAUGCAUUACAAAGCUAGCACGCUUCUAAUGUCAGUACUAGCGUGCAGCGAUUUUAGCUUCCCUGAGAUGUGACUGAGGCAGAGACAGAAAACGAGUGCUAAUGUUUGAGAAGAGGACUGGCAGCUGUCCAGCAAAUAAAGUCAUUUCUCAAAGCUGCUGCCAAAAUAAGCUUACUAAUACAUCCUCAUUAGGAAUCAUGCAAAUAAACCAGGACAACAAGACUCCAGGGCUUCUGGGAAUCAGGCAGCGUUUAAGGAUGGUGUUUGAAGUCCACAGGAAGUCAAAAUUCACUAUUCACUGUCUCAGUGCACUGUCCUGGUCUUGUGCAAAAUUCAUGAUCAUCAUGCAAAGGACAAAAUGUUUUGACCUCAUAAUUUUUCAUCAAAAUGUAAUAACUUGCUCUGCCUCAACUUUUUUAAAAGUAAUGUUAAAAGUAAUGACUUUUUAUGGUUAUAAUCCUGGUUUGAUGACUAUGUUUCGAGUCAUUACAGUCCUGAAACUUUAGUGUAAAUAUAUUAGUCAUAUGCUGAUUCAACCUCCAAUGACCAUAUAUCUCUGGACGAGAAUACAGAAGAGAUCAGUGAGAACUGUCUGUAUGCCACAAACCAUCCUUGCAGGAAAGUGUUUUAGUCAGUGCUUCUGUAGUGCAGGAAGGUCCUGAUUUGCAAAAUCAAAUUCUCUGACUAAAGCGGCAGUGAAUAAGCAGUCAGGCAGCACGCUUCAUAAAUGCUCAUAUGCUCGGAGAGGCUGAUAGCGUGAGUGGGGUUUCAUUUGAGCGGCGUAAUGAGCUAUUAAUGGUGCUUUAAGGGCUUUCCUUGUGGUGUUUGUUUGCUUUUCGGCAUUUGAUUUGUUUGUUUGUAUAGCACCCGACUGCCUGCAGAGCUGAGACCUGUCUGUCUCUCACACUAGUGCAGCAACGUGCUAUGUUUGUCUGAAGUGUGCACUAUGCUAGUGCAAAAAAUGCAGUUAAUAUUGUGAUUUUAAUUAUUUGCAAGGAAGUACAAAGUCAGGUUGAGUGCUCUGCAAUGUGGCAUACAGUUGCUGCACUGCAAAUUUUACUGAAUGUAGUAGGCAUUUUCGAUGCUGUGCACAGUAUGCAUACUGCACCAAGUGCACCAUUUGGAACACAGCCCAUGUACAUAUGAAGUGCACUCAGGGAGGGACUGAGUGUGAAUGAUUUGUAUAAAGCUGUUAGUGUAAAUUGCGUAUAGCGGGACCCUCAGGAGGCGUGCACUCACUCUGACAGCAGGAACGCUGGCCAAGCGAGACAGGAAAUCUCUUAUGGGAGGGAAAAUGAUAUUAGCCUUCGCUGCUGUGUGCUGCUGUGAUUAUCAUAUAUAUUAGUGCACGGUGGGUUAUGGCUGUAGGCUGGAACAGAGGCUGCUUUAAUGUGCAGGCAUCAUGCACACUGGGGCAGAUACUACAACACCAGGUCUGCAGGAACACACCUCACUUACUAGAGGUGCAGACCUACAUGGCCAUUAGCAUAUUUGCACUACUGUCACUCGCUUGUAUAGUUGUAUACUUUUGGCCAAAUUCUAAGGCAGUGUUGCAGGUGUGACUUAAUGAAGAAGUCAAUCCUAGUAUUUACUGCAAUGAGCUCAGUGUAUAUAUUGAUUAUAAAUAUACAUUUAUUCAAUAAUGAAAACAGAUAAAAAAUAGUUUAAUCUAAUUUAAAAGAGAUCCUGAGUGUUUUACGCAGUCUGUUCUGGCAGUAUGCUUCACAUUUUGGCAAUUGAAUUAGACCAUCUGGCUAUUCCAUGCAGAAAGUGCACAUACACGGUGCAUUGUGGAUAUAAUGUGCGGUAGUAUGCCAGUCUGAACAUACUCACGUGUUUGUGUUUAUGCUAACUGUAGUACUAGUAUGCUGUCAUCCAUUUUUAAUAGUUUGUGAAACAUCAUGCUGUACAAUAUAACAAAUGUUUCAGACUGUAGCAUGCUGUGUUGUUGUCACAUGAUGUAACUACAUUGCAUGUUUCUGUUGUGUUGGUAGUCCAAUUGCUUCCCAUUAGUUUCCAGUUUGUCAAAAAUCAACGCAAUUCACAAAGUCACAUUGUUACAUAAAUCCUCUAUUGCAGCUUGUUAGAGACCAAAAAAUAACCCCUGUUGUGUAAAGAAAGGGGUCAGUUCUUUUUGUUAUGACUACUUGUAGUGACUGUGAUGGAUACAGGUAAGCAAACCAGCACAAUAUAUCAGAGACUGCACUUAACUGAGUUAAGACAUGAAUACACAUUUAAACUUGGGAGUUUUUUCCACCAAGAAGGCAACAAACACAGGAAGAGAAUGGUAAGGGCUAUUUACAUACAAGAUCGUCGCUGGAGAACAGGUAAUGCACUGGUGCUACAGGUAAGAUGCUGAAGUAACUGGAGAUUUGCUGGAGAAACAGGUGCAUCGCUGGAAAUGGACCGUUCUUGAGGGUUGGAGACCCCAGUGUUGUGGCUAUCCUUGUCCUGGAGCUGGGCUGUUGGGGUGUUCUGCGUGAAAGAAGAGCCAGAUCGAGGACGUCAUCUGAGGGUCCCAGGACUGUUCUGCUAGGCCGUAUUCUUCCCAGUCAACCCAGUAUUUGAGAUGAUGACUCCAACGACAGGAAUCAAGGAUGAUGACAGCAUACGCCGGGGGAGACAUAACUGGUAUGUGACUUGGUUUCACUGUUUCAGCAUGGCGAAGGGGCAGACGAAUUAAAGGACUUUGCAGACAGAUGUCCCGGGUGAAGAGCCAGACCUUUUGCUUGGGUUGGUAGGUUGGAGUGGAGGAUCUCUGGGUGUUGACCUGACUCUGCUGAUCUGACUUCAUACAAGUUUAUCACUGGAGAACAGGUAAUGCACUGGAGAAACAGGUAAUUUGCUGGAGUUCCAGAAGAGUUGCUGGAGAAACAGGUGAGGUGCCAGAAAAGGACCACUCCUGAGGGUUGGAGACCCCAAUGUUGUGACCGGCUAGGUUUCACUGUUUCAGUAUGGUGAAGGGGCCAACGAAUUGAGGACUUUGCAGAAUUGCGGCUGGACAGACUAAGCCAGAUGUCUCGGGUUGAAAGCCAGACUUUUUGCCUGGGUUGGUACGUGGGAGUUGAAUUUAUCCGAGUGUUGACCUGACUCUUCUGAUCUGACUUCAUACAAGCUUGUCGCUGGAGAACAGGUAAUGCACUGGAAAGUUGAGGAGAAGGGCCAGGUCAAGGAUGUCAUCUGAAGGACCCAGGACUGUUCUUCUAGGCCAUAUUCUUCCCAGUAAACCCAGUAUUUGAGAAGAUGACUCCAAUGACAGGAAUCAAGGAUGAUGACAACAUACACUGGGGAGACAAAACUGGUAUGUGACUAGGUUUCACUGUUUCAGUAUGGUGAGCCAGAUGUCCCGGAUGGAAAGCCGGACCUUUUGCUUGAGUUAGUAGGUGGGAGUGGAGGAUCUCUGGGCGUUGACCCGACUCUUCUGACACUUCUUAUUUACAUACAAGAUCGUCGUUGGAGAUCAGGUAAUGCGCUGGAAAAACAAGUAAUUUGCUGGAGUUACAGGAGACUUGCUAAACAAAAGUAUCGCUGGAAAAAUGACCACUCCUAGGGGUUGUAGACGCCAAUGUUUGUGGCCGGCCCCAUCCUGAAGCUGGGCUUUUGGGAUGUUCUACGUGAAAGUUGAGGAGAAGGGCUAGAUCCAGGUGUCAUCUGAGAGACUCGGGUCUGUUCUUCUGGGCCGUAUUCUUUCCAGUUAACCCAUUAUUUAAGAUGAUGACACCAACAACAGGAAUCACAACAUACGUUGGGGACAUAACUGAUAUGAGACUAGGUUUAACUGUUUCAGUAUGGUGAAGGGGCCGACGAAUUAAGAACUAUGCAAACUCAGCUGGACAGACUGAGUCAGAUGUCCUGGGCAGAGAGCCAGACCUUUUGCCUGGAUUGGUAGGUGGGAGUGUAAGAUUUCUGGGUGUUGGCUUGACUCUUCUUAUUUACAUGUAAGAUCAUCGCUGGAAAACAGGUAAUGCACUGGAGAAACAGGUCAUUUGCUGGAGUUCCAGGACAGUUGCUGGAGAAACCAGUGAGUCGCUGGAAAAAGGACCGCUCCUGAGUGUUGGAGAACCCAGUCCUGUGGCUGGCCACAUCCUGGAGCUGGGCUGUUUGGGUGUUCUACAUGUAAGUUGAGGAGAAGGGCAAGAUCAUUACUGGAGAACAGGUAAUACACUGGAGAAACAGGUAAUUCGCUGGAGUUCCAAGACAGUUGCUGGAGAAACCAAUGAGUCACUGGAAAAAGGACUGGUCCUGAAGGUUGGAGACCCCAAUGUUGUGACAUGGAGCUGAGCAGUUGGAGUGUUCUGCUUGAAAAUUGAGGAGAAGGGCCAGAUCGAGGAUGUCAUCUGAGGGACUCAGGACUGUUCUUCUUGUCCGUAUUCCUCCCAGUCAACCAGGUAUUUGAGAUGAUGACUCCAACUACAAAAAUCGAGGAUGGCAUCAUAAGCCGGGGAGGAGUAAGUGGUAUGUGACUAGGUUUAAUUGUUUCAGUCUGGUGCCGUGCUACCCUGGGCUAUAUCCCAAACCCUCUCCUUCUUAUGGAACCAGUGAUCCAGAUGAAACCUCGGAAGGCUUUCCUGAAAAUGGAAACAAGCAUGCACUGGAACGGAGUGAGUUCGGUAACAGGUAGACGGAGAGAAUUUUGUUUGUUUUACACCCAGGAAAGGUAUCAGCAACUGAUGUGUUGGUUGCUAUGGCAGUAUGUCCUUUGGAAAGCAUCCUAUUUCCUGGAUCUUCCUUUCUGUCUUCCCAUUGUUCUGUAGGUGAAAACCAGCUGCAAGUCUCAUGUACACUCUUAGUAGGGAGAAGGCACACCAGACUUUGGAGACAAAAUGUGGUAAUGACAGCAGCAAGAGUUUGCCGGCUAGUUGGUGGUGAGGAGACUUGGUGAUGACACGUUCAGGACAGCCCUGCACAAAGCGGCGUACCUCCUGGGACUUGGUUUCCAGCACCGUUGUUGGAGAGGUAAGAGGGUGUGUGUUAUUUUAGGGUCACCAGUGCCUAGGGAGGAGUGGACUAAGCUCCCAUGAGGGUAGAACGGAGAGCGGCAGGUAUGUAGUUGCAUCCCUCAUAGCAAGGUCCAAUCGAUGGGGCUGACAGUCAGUAAUGACAGAAGGAAGGGUUCAAGCUCAUUGGAGGGAAUAUCUGGGGAUUGCAGCUGAGACUAGUCAUCCACCUUCACAUUUUUUAACCCUGGACGAUAGGAGAUGGCAAAGUGAAAUGCGUGAUGAAUAUGGCCCACAAGGAUUGGGACAGGUAGAUAUGACUUGAACUGAGGAAUAUGGAGAGGCAGGUGCUGAUGGUAAAACGGUUGGGUCGCAAGAGCUUGGCAUAAUUGUUGUACCAGAAAGUCGACGGGGUCCGGGAUGUAAGUCGUACACACGUAAACGUGAGUUUUUUCUAACAAGGAGGCAAUGAACAUAUGAACACAAUAGUAAGGGCUGUUUACAUAAAAGAUAAUCACUAGAGAAAAGGUAAUACGCUGGAGAAACAGGUAAUUCUGAUGCUGGAUGCUUGAGUAGCCAUAACAGGUAAGACUCUAGAGUUACUGGCUAGAGUUAAGGCCAGACUGUGACUGGUGAGCUUCUGUGCAGUCCUGAAUAAAUUUAGUAGGCAGCUGACAAUGUAGACAGUAGACAACAAGGCAGCACACUUGGUUUUGGAACAGAGCAACUGUAUGCAUUGUGUUCUCAGUAGAGCUAGCACACUCUCACAUACAUACUUGCAGUCAUAUUAUGGUCACCAUAGCAGUAAUGAUGGCUCAGGGGUGGUGGGCACCUGCAGGCUGUGGUUUUCAUAUUGUGUGUGUGUGAUGAGCAGCUCCAGGGUUUGCACUGGGUCACUGCACACUUUUAGCAGAGUGCUUUCAAAACUCUCUCCUCUUCUCUCUCUCUGUGACGUGCAAAUCGGAGGGAAAUCAAAGACAGAGGAGGAAGAAGAGGGCUGGUGAUGCUGUUCAGUGUCUCCAGUUGCUGUCUCCUCUGUAAUUUUCGGAGCGCCAGAGGUAUGAAGCGUGGAAAAUAAGCUGUUUUAAAGAAGCAGAGCUGCUGGAGGCAUGACUGCUUUUUUUUUUCCGAGGGGUUUCUAUAAAUUAUUAAAGGGUUAGUUCACCCAAAAAAUGACAAUUCUGUCAUUUACUCACCCUCAAGUGUUCAAAACUGGGAAUGAUUCAGAAUUGGGAUGAUACGGCUAAAAACAAUAUGACAUAAUCAUUUUACGUAUUUACCAUGAAAUGUGUAGUGUUCUAAUACUAGCAUUAGACAAAGGAUGGCUGUCUAAUGACACCUUAAAAAAAAACACAUUAAAAUCAUUGUGAUAUUACAUAGACUUAUUAUUAAACUUAUUAUUACUGUGAUAUUCACAACGUCAUUAGCAUUAAUUUAUUUCUAAAUUCAUCCCUUACAGCAGCACUUGUCUAGCAAAUCUGCUGUCUUAAUACAUUUCAAGAUGACUGUCGGAUGUUUAGCCAUUGCAUCAUGUAUUUAUAUAGCUUUCUGCUCUCAUUAUCUCCAUUUUGUCUGUCAUCUUUUGUGUUUUGUAGUCAUACAGGGUUUGAAUCAACACAAGGGUGAGUAAGUGAUGACAGAAUUUUCAUUUUAGAUGAUCUAUCCCUUUAAUGCCUGUGGAUGUGAAUAUCAUGGCCUAGCCUGCAUCAGUGACUGUGAUUACAUGUCCAAGGAUAAUCCCACAUUAUUCCCCAGAUCUCAGUUCUCAAAUCCUAUUUAUUCCCACUGAUCGAGUCAUUUUGGGGAAUAAGCUGUUUAUAUGCCCUUUCAGUGUCCCUGUUAUGAGUCAGCCCUUUAUCCAGGAAGAAUCUCCCUAUUCACAGCACCGCACAAUGCCAAUGUUCAUCUGAACCAUCUGCUGUUCUUCUUUGCUCCUUUUUAUUUUGCAGAUAGAUAUAUAGUUUGUCAUGUUCAUUGUGCUGAAAGGGGAAAAUGUAAAACAUCUUUGAGAGGACUGAUUUUAAAUGACCUGGUCAUGUCAAUGAGCUUCAGGCGUAAAUGUUCAGAAUGGCAUUUAGAAUCCUGAAAUUUCCGUAAUGUAAAAAAGCCAUGAUCUAAAUGAGAGAUUAUUCAGAUACUGAUAGAAAAUUAUGAUAGAAAAUAUUGCAGUCUGAUGUGAUCAGAAUAUAGAUGUGCUCGUAAAUUCAUGCGCUUUGAUUUUGUGUGUGUGUGUGUGUGUGUGUAUGUGUAUAAAAUGUUUUCACCUCUUUCACCUCCAAAGACUUGAUUGGGAUUAUGUGAAGAGACCGUGAGCAUUUAAACCUAAUGCAUACGUCCAAACACACACUUUAAACACAAACACAUACACACUUAUUUCUCACACUGUUUACUCUACACACACACACACACACACACACACACACACACACAGACAAUAGUACACUCAAACGCACACACUCAGAGGCAUUUCAUAUCUUUUUCUUUGUUGUUUCAUAAGGCAUAUUAAAAGUCAGUAGGUUAGAAAUUGCACCAGAAAAUCAGAUAUGAGGUCUGGUCUGUGGUACCUUCAUUGUCUUUAACUGUUCUUUUUGCUACUUCUAGUCAUCUUUCUAUCUAUCUAUCUAUCUAGUGCCCUCAGUUUUUUUUUUUAAAUUGACUCCCCAAUUCUGAUUAAACCAAUAGAUUUCAGGAACCAAGGUAUAAGAUGACUAUCUGAUGGCACAGGUUUCUCAGUUGACUAACAUUAAUAUUUACUGGGGAAGGACUCAUGGAGAACUCAAUUAAUCAUAAGGAUCUCCGUUUGAUAAUCUUCCACUUUAGGAAGGGAACCUGGAUUUCCAUUACACUGGCAUGCACAAGUUCCUGGCAAGGCGACGUAAGUUUGUUUAUAGUUUAUUUUCUGGCAGGUGUUAUGGUUCCAAACAUCAGGGCUGAUGGAUUGAGGGGGCACUGCAGUGGCGCCGCAAAAGGCAGACUUCUGUAGUUUGGUGUGGUCAUCUGUCAGGUUUUACUGCUCUGGUAGGUGGAUCCUGGAGUAAGAAGGGAGGCCUUUGUGAACGUCUAUUCAGUUUGGUAAGAGCACUCAGAGAUUUGCCUCUAGUGAAGACAUCAGUUUACAACCCUCAGUCAUCAUUGUCGCCACUCCGGAGUCUCGUUCCAUCAUGUCUGCCCCGCCAGAGUCCUUAACCAUCAUGGCCACCACACUGGAGUUCCUGCAUUUACUAUUGCUGAUUGUGCAACAAAUGGUGAAUGGUACCAGCAUCAAAGGUUUUGGACCAAUGAUGUUGGCACAAGUGGCAUUGAAAGUUAGCCGAGGUGGUGACAUCCACUACAACUCCUCCAGAGGUGUCAGCCGUUCCAAGUUCUCUGGCCAUGGCAGUCAUUCUCAGUUCUUCGUCGCAACCACAGAGGUCGUUCUCUCACGUUUUGCCUGUCCUGUCAUGACCAAAGAGUCUGUCUCGGAACUCUCAGCCUAUCCUGUUGGUCACGGUGGUGUUCGUCCUUGCUGCUCCAUCAUGGUGGUUUUCUGCUCUGUCGUGGUCAUCUCUAGCUUCGCCUGAUCCACCGUGAUGGUCUACUGCCAACUCCACUGUGGUGGUCUUCUGUUUGGCCUGUACCACCAUGGUGGUUUCAAAUUCUGCCUAAUCUGCUUUGGUCGUCCAAGGCUUCACCUUGGAGGUCCUCAGCCCCUUCUGGUCUCCUGUGGUGGUCUUCUGCUCUACCCUGGAUCUUCUGUCCCAUCAGCAUUGCUGUGGUGGUCAUCAGCUGCACUGUGGAGAUCUUCGGUCCCGUCUGCUCUGCUGUGGUUGUCCUCUGCUCCGCCUUGGGGUCUUCAGUCACAUCAGCUCCAUCCUGGCCACCUGUCUCCUCCUGUCCUGCUGGCUCUGCCCUGGCCAUCUAUUCAGCGGUUCUGUCCAGGCCUCCUUCCUGGCCUGCCUGCUUUGCUUGCUCCAUUCAGACCUCCUGCUCUGCCAGCUCUGCCAUGGUCUUCAGCUCCGCCUUGGUUUCUAGCUCUGCCCUGGUCACAGUUCCUCUAGCUCCACCUUGGCUCUCUGUUUCAACUCUGUCCUUGGACACUCUUCCACCUUACGGGCCUGGCAUUCUGUUCCUCCCCCUGCUCUCCCCCAGUUAGUGGUAAGUUUAGCAAAAGCUUUGCAUUUAUUCAAGUAAUGUUCUGUAUUACCGCAAAAGGAAUAGAAUCAUUUACUUUAAAUGGGUCUGCUGGUUGAUCCUCUUGAGCCAGAAGUUACAUUUUACUUUGUAUAUAUCCACUCCUGGUGAGCCAAUUUCUACAUCAAAGUCAUGAUACCAGGCUUCAUAGUAGAGCCUGGCUGAGAUGGGUGCAGUUCCAGGAUUAUGUAACGCAUGAAGGUGGAACUCAGCUUGCUGGUUGGAAGGAGGCUUGCGUAAAAGAUGUACGACCCACAGUUCAGUUCAGUGUCAUCUUCAGGUCCUAAGGUUUUUACCAAACCCACCCAUGAUUUUAACUGAGAAGCAAACUUCUGGAAUUCAACUGUUUCUCCACGCUGUACAUUAGGGGUUUCUAAGGCUCCUUAAAGCUAGCUGGUGGGGGUGACCAAACUUCUCUUGGAGGGCCACCAUGAUAUCAGUAAAGGGUUAAGCAAAUUCAAACAUCCAUCUGCUAUCAGCUUAGCCUCAUAUAACUUUAAGUGUUCUACAAUUAUUUAAUAUAUAUAGAGAGCUGAUCCAUCUGCAGGAAGCAGAUUCUCCAAAAGUAUUCUUUAAAACUCAUCUGAUCUGGCCAACUGAACUUGGGGAUGGUAGAGGUAGGUCCUCUCUGCAUAUGCUCUGACAAAGCUUAAGGUAACCCAAAGUGCUAGGUGACUUCACUGAGCAGGCAUGAACCCAAUUUGGGGUAAGAAACUGGAAAUUGUUCUCUGGUUGGUAUGUAGAUAUGCCAGGUUGGUUUGAAUUUGAAGUCUGCUUACAACUUAGUACAGUUCUCAGUGGUCAGGCCAAGGUGGAAGCUUAGACCACUCUUCAUCAUCAGCUGCUGUGGCCAACCCAUUCUGGUCUAUGUAGCAAGAAGGUCUGGAUGGUGGUAGGAAGCCUUGUCAUACUGGAGGACUGGACAACUGAGGUCUGGACAACUUUUACCAGUUCUUUAAACACUUAUUUCAACUCCAUCCGAUAAGCAUGAAGUUGUUGUGACUGCAGAAGCUGUGCACUCUGUAAAUGCCUUGAAUUUUAUUAUGGUAUUUAAGCUUCGGGGUAACUAUUCCGCUAGGCUGAUGUGAAGAGUGAGGUAGGUUUUCACUGCACUUUGUAUAACUGAAAUUUGGUGUACCUGAAGAAAUGAGGGCCAGGAUGAGGAGAAGCUUCGCCAUAGAGGUGGUCAGGAUUGCCCCGUGAUGACUGGAGAAGAGCCACAUGGACAGGUUCCUCACAGGGAGGUGAGAUAACAUGUUCAGGUACAGGCCUCCCUCCUAAAUACUGCACAUUAAAAUCUUGGAGAUGGACUGAUGGACAUGUUCAACAUCGUUUUCUGGUUGCUGUAAUGAUCUCCUCAUCCGACUCCAUGGUACUAAGAAUGAACACUGCCUCGAAGGACAGUCGACCAAUUGAUGAGGAGACUGGAGCUUGUUUUCAAUGUGUAUUGAUUAUUAGUUUAUUGGUUAUGUAACUCAAUCACCAAAUUGCCAACGAAUAUCCAAAUGACAGGUAGGCAAAAUAAUCUAUCUAUCUAUCUAUCUAUCUAUCUAUUGUAUUGUUCUGUUGUCCUGUUGUCAUUCUAUAGUCUCAUUCAUUCAGUCUGUCUGUCUGUAGUUCUCUCAAUCGCUCUCAUACGUAACAUGUGGUGAGGGUUGGUGUUGAUCCGUUUGAGGCGUGCAGUAAUCAUCCGCAGUGAGGGGCAGUCAGAGGUGUUUGGAGCUCAGCGAGGGGGAAAUGAAGAGGUCUCACGCUCUCAGCAGCUGCAUUCUGCGGCUGCAGGAUUAGCUAAUGCGAUUAGCUGCGUUUCACAAUCAGCCGCACUGAAUGCAUGUUGUAAUUACUGCACCUCAAUGAGAAAGGUGUGUGUGAAAGAUUAAUGCAGGUGAGUGGCAGGCUGUGAUAGAUACGCUUUGCUAACGUGCUCUCCUCAGCCAAGCGUGUGUGUUUGCGAAUGGGACGGUAUGGGACUGCAGCUCAUCUGCGCAUAUGCGAUCCAAACCCAAACAUUGCAGAUAUGCCAAAUGAGGUCUGAGCUGAUGGUUAGGUUAGUUCAUAUUUUUCAUGGCAAUGUUAUGUUUUAAUAACACCUAAGGAUAAAUCAACAUUACUAGUUGGCAUAAUUACAAUGUUAAAUUAUGUAACAUGCUUUUUAACAAAAUUUUUGUGGAGUGUAAAGCUCUGAGGCUCUUUCUGACUUUGUUAUGUUGAUAUCAUGAGACCAAUAAGUUGUGAUCUCAUGAAAGCCAGGCAGAAACCAAUAAUACUGCACAGCCUCCCUGGGCAUCAGUCAUUAUUUUCGCAAAAUUCUGCUUUGGUGCCACUAUGGAUUUCAAAUCUCUGUACUAUUCUAGGACAUAGUCUUUUGUCUUGUGAAAUCGGCGCGACGUAUUUCCACACAGGAUUUCUCACAGCUUCAGUUCCAUACUGAAAAUCAAUGGACAUGCGGAUUGACUCCAGCUGAAUCGCUGCCCGUUCAUUUAGCUCUGAUUCAAGAGGUUUCUAGCUUUUUUCUUCACAGUUUUGAGUCUGCCUUCUGCUCGCAUUUUCUUUUUGUCUGUGAUGGAGCGACAUCAGACGUGCGCAGCUGAGAGAGAAUAUUGGCCGUGAAUUACAAGGUGGCGUGAUUACAAAGGUAGAAGAGGCCAAAAUAAAGAAUAAAAGAGCUACAGAAUUAUGUGUGUAAUAAUUUAAAAUGUUGGUGCAUGAUGAAGAAAAUGCUUUGGAUGUUAUUUGAUUAAAUUUAAAAUAAUUAAUUGUUGGAGGUUUAUGCAUUAAUUUGAUUAGCACUGUUUUUAAUGAUACAUGUCUAUCAUAAAACACAGAAUUUAUACAGACAACAACAUAGUUGCCAAUUUAAAAAAAAUAGAAUAUUUAUUAUUGUUAACAUUUUAAUAAAUGAUUACACUGCUGGGAGUUUCAUCUGCAUAAUGUUUAAUUUCGCCUCAAAUAAUAAAACCGACUGGCAAAUUAAAUAUAAAAAAAGUAAAGCUACUCAACACGGUUUCUCUGAAACAUCAAGCUGAUUGUUGUCCCGAAAACAUAUCAGUUUGUUUUCUAGCAAAACAAAGAUUUAUUCUGAUCGCUUUCCAUAGAAAGUUGAAACGUUUCUGUCUAACAGACGUCUUUCCUCUUUCAGAUCUUCAUUCCCUUCCUUUCGUCAGUGAGCCGCCAGGAGGCCAAUAGCCAACCGCUAACGUUUGAUUGAAUUAUCCCUCAACAUGAUGUGGCAGUAAACUGUUAUUCCUCCAUCUUACCAGCCCUCUGCUGUCUCGCCCCUGAGCGACGACUUUCAUCCUCUCUCAUUUCUCUGCUGUCAUACACAUACUGGCACUCGUCUGCCGGCGCGAUGGUUUCGGCCUUUUGCUCAUUUACAGCUCUGUAUUCCCGACAGGCCGUCUGAUUCCUGAGGGGAGGCCUGUGGAGGACGCUCUGUUGAAUUUACAGCCGUAUAUAAAUAUAUAUGAACGUGCGGCUCUCUCAGAUUGAAAACAUAUACCUGCGACGAUUGCCUGCUAUGAAGUUCAUUUCAGGGGUAAUGCUGUUUUUCCUCCCCAUCUCGUCUGCUCCUUCAAAGAACGCAUCCUAUUUUAAGUCAUGAGAGAUAUAUGGAAAGGAACAGGGUAAAUAUUUGAGUGUAUCGCAGGCUUCAUUUCUUGAAUUAGUUCUGUUGGUUUUCUUCGUCUGGCUUCUCCGCUGGUAAGUUCAUUCUAGUCCAAGCUACUUGAGGAGAGGAUGCUUUUUCACUCGUAUUUACGUUGCAGAUGCAUGUCUGGAAAUGAGAACAAUGCAAGCUGCUUGUUGAACAUGAUUUCUGCAGAGACGAGUUGCAAGGAAAAAUAUAUUAUCGGGAAGCCCUGACCCAUGCAUGCAUGUCCGAGUUCAGAAAACAGCUUUAACACCAACCAAAGAAUCAUCAGACAAAGCUAUUAUGAAAAUCCCACAAGACCACUUACACUGCAAGAUCUUCAUUGUGCAUGUCGUCAGCGAGUCGCCUGGAGACCGAUAGACAACCGCUAAUGUUUGAUUGAACAGCUUUAACACCAACCAAAGAACGAUCAGACAGAAUUAAGUCUGCACCAAAAGCUCUAUUAUGGAAAUCCCACAAGCCACUUUCACUACAAGGCUGCAGGUGUUCCCUGACCAUCAGUGUGUGUGAAGUGACCUGUGGGUGUGUUUUUGCUGUGCCGCGUGUCCUGCAGCAUUUCCAUCAGGGCGGCAAUGGGAGGAACAUGUCACUACAAGCUCCUCAAUCUACUGCUGUCACAAAAAUCAAUACUGCCCGACACACACACAAACACACACAUUCAGGAGAACAUCUCAAUUGCUCUACAAAUAUAAAGGUGU